rnacentral:lncRNA from 1 species
AAUAAAAUAAUACAAGCUUCAUAUUACAAGCCAGAGGCCUCGAUGGCUAGAAUACAGAAGCUCGAUAAACACACGAGUCAGCGGAAGCAACAAUAUCUGAGUACAGACAUAAAACAUGGGGUGCCUUAGAGAAGGCAAGCACAAAAGAAACACGAUCGAACGAGGCGAGGCCUCCUGCCUGGGAACCUCCUAACUACUCCUAUCUUCAGCGGCCUCCACGAAGAAGACACCAUCGGGAUGGCAGACAUCGGCAGGAAAC